rnacentral:misc_RNA from 1 species
GGAAGGAUCAUUAACUAAUAUAAUUGGUAGAGAUUAUCUCUACCAUUAACCUUUGUGCAACGUUUUCUCCCUUAAUAUAUUUGAUAUAGUAAAGGUUAAAACACACGCAGUAUGCGUGGAUAUAUACGUUUAUUUAGAGUCUUAUUUAAAGUUUAUAAUUAAAAACAACUUUUAACAAUGGAUCUCUAGGCUCUUGCAACGAUGAAGAACGCAGCGAAAUGCGAUACGUUAUGUGACCUGCAUUUAUUUGUGAAUCAUCGAAUCUUUGAACGCAACUUGCACUUUCUGGAUCUACUGGAAAGUAUACUUGUUUGAGUAUCAGAAUAAUCUAUCCAACAGCUAGUUGGGAUAUGAGACAAUAUAUAAUUUAUUAUAUAUGUCUUUAAAUGUAUUGCUAUUAAAAGCGUGGUAAAAGACGGAUGUUCUUUCCCGCUGAUACUAAUAGAAUAUGCUAACGCAUACUAUAUAUUAUGAUCUCAAAUCAAGUAAGAGUACCCGCUGAACUUAAGCAUAUCAGUAAGCGGAGGAAAAGAAACUAACAAGGAUUCCCUCAGUAGCAGCGAGUGAACCGGGAUGAGCUCAAAUUUAAAAUCUGGGAGGUUUCCUCUCCGAAUUGUAAUUUAAAGGGUAUGUUUCCGUGGCGGCAUUGAUAAAAGUUCUUUGGAACAAGACAUCAUAGAGGGUGAGAAUCCCGUACAUGAUCUUUGCUUAGCUACUUUGUGAUUCAUACUCAACGAGUCGAGUUGUUUGGGAUUGCAGCUCAAAAUGGGUGGUAAAUUUCAUCCAAGGCUAAAUAUUGGCAAGAGACCGAUAGCGAACAAGUACCGUGAGGGAAAGAUGAAAAGAACUUUGAAAAGAGAGUUAAAAGUACGUGAAAUUGUUAAAAGGGAAGCGAUUGAAACCAGUAUUGGGCGUAUGAGUUCAGCGAGGAGUUAAUUUCCGAGUGUAUUCUUGUGCGUCCAAGUCAACAUCAGUUUUGGUUGCUGGAUAAAGCUUAGGGGAAGGUGCUUUUACUUUGGUAAAAUCUUAUAGACCCUUUGUGUAACAGUGAUUGGGACUGAGGACAGCGACUGCAUGCGUUUGCUGUGGACACGUUUUGACUAGGUGGACUGGCUUUUAAAGACUGGCUAACUAAUUAAUUUGUUGAAGUGGCAAUGUGUAGUCUAGGAUGUUGACGAAAUGGUUUUAAACGACCCGUCUUGAAACACGGACCAAGGAGUCUAACACAUAUGCGAGUAUUUGAGUGUCAAACUCUAAUGCGCAAUGAAAGUGAGUAGAUGGGAAUCGCAAGAUGCACCAUCAACCGAUCUUGAAGGUAUACUGAAUAGAUUUGAGUAAGAGCAUAUUUGUUGGGACCCGAAAGAUGGUGAACUAUGCCUGAAUAGGGUGAAGCCAGAGGAAACUCUGGUGGAGGCUCGUAGAGGUUCUGACGUGCAAAUCGAUCUUCAAAUUUGGGUAUAGGGGCGAAAGACUAAUCGAACCAUCUAGUAGCUGGUUCCCUC